UGUAGCGGUGGAAUGCGCAGAUAUCAGGAGGAACACCGAUGGCGAAGGCAGGUCUCUGGGCUGUAACUGACGCUGAGGAGCGAAAGCAUGGGGAGCGAACAGGAUUAGAUACCCUGGUAGUCCAUGCCGUAAACGUUGGGCACUAGGUGUGGGGACCAUUCCACGGUUUCCGCGCCGCAGCUAACGCAUUAAGUGCCCCGCCUGGGGAGUACGGCCGCAAGGCUAAAACUCAAAGGAAUUGAUGGGGGCCCGCACAAGCGGCGGAGCGUGCGGAUUAAUUAGAUGCAACGCGAAGAACCUUACCAAGGCUUGACAUGUUCUCUAUCGCCGUAGAGAUACGGUUUCCCCUUUGGGGCGGGUUCACAGGUGGUGCAUGGUUGUCGUCAGCUCGUGUCGUGAGAUGUUGGGUUAAGUCCCGCAACGAGCGCAACCCUCGUUCCAUGUUGCCAGCAAGUCGUGGUGGGGACUCAUGGGAGACUGCCGGGGUCAACUCGGAGGAAGGUGAGGAGGACGUCAAAUCAUCAUGCCCCUUAUGUCUUGGGCUUCACGCAUGCUACAAUGGCCGGUACAAUGGGUUGCGAUACUGUGAGGUGGAGCUAAUCCCAAAAAGCCGGUCUCAGUUCGGAUUGGGGUCUGCAACUCGACCCCAUGAAGUCGGAGUCGCUAGUAAUCGCAGAUCAGCAACGCUGCGGUGAAUACGUUCCCGGGCCUUGUACACACCGCCCGUCAAGUCACGAAAGUCGGUAACACCCGAAGCCGGUGGCCUAA
rnacentral:rRNA from 1 species